GACGAACGCUGGCGGCGUGCUUAACACAUGCAAGUCGAACGGUGAAGGGAUCAGCUUGCUGGUUCUGGAUGAGUGGCGAACGGGUGAGUAACACGUGAGUAACCUGCCCCCUUCUUCUGGAUAACCGCAUGAAAGUGUGGCUAAUACGGGAUAUUCUGCGCCUGCUGCAUGGUGGGUGUGGGAAAGAUAUUGUUUCGGUGGGGGAUGGGCUCGCGGCCUAUCAGCUUGUUGGUGGGGUGAUGGCCUACCAAGGCGGUGACGGGUAGCCGGCCUGAGAGGGUGGACGGUCACACGGGGACUGAGACACGGCCCAGACUCCUACGGGAGGCAGCAGUGGGGAAUAUUGCACAAUGGGCGCAAGCCUGAUGCAGCGACGCCGCGUGAGGGAUGGAGGCCUUCGGGUUGUGAACCUCUUUCGCCAGUGAAGCAGGCCUGUCCCUUGUGGGUGGGUUGACGGUAGCUGGAGAAGAAGCGCCGGCUAACUACGUG
rnacentral:rRNA from 1 species